CUCAGCUGCCCAGACAAGCUCUUGCCUUUUUGGAGUUCACACUCUGGGGAGAUCUGACAAGAAGUAGUGAUGGAAACAAAUCUCAGUGGUAACGUGUGUUAGGAGAAAAAGGAGGCUGCAAAAUGCAGUGGGGAAAGCGGGCUACACAGAAAGGUUCAUAGAAGGAUUGCUAAGAAGAUCUUUUAAUUGGCUUAUUGAGGAUGGGCAACUGAGUCUGACUUAUGACCAGAGGACAGCAUCAUAACAAGUUGAGAAGUGUUGACUCCACAGUUCAAGUCUUUGCCCAAGGAUGGUGACAUCAACUCACUCACAGAAAAGUGGGCCAUCAUACUAGAGGCACCAAAUGGAACAGAGUUUAAGAGACUCAAACAGGACCUCAAGUGUUGGCAAGGCCUCCCAAAGAAAAAAAUUCAGAAGAAUGAGGAAAAAGGCAUUUGACUCUACCCCAUAGACGGGGUGCUUAUUUCUCCACAUUUGCCAAAGCGUCACUGUUUAUUCAGAGGUACACAGACAGUCUAAGGAUGCCUGUUGUUUGGGCUUUCGUAAAUGAUCUUGCAGUCACUCAUUAAUGCAGGGAUAUGAGCUGGGA